rnacentral:ribozyme from 1 species
UGGAGGCCGCGGACCACUCACGCCUCAUCGCAGCAACAACAGCAGCUUGAACAUCAACAAGAACAACUUUGCCACGCCGCGUUCAGCGCCUCCUCAGCAACGCCACCGAACGGCAGCCAACCCCU